UUACAUGAGGGAGAGCCUGGCGGACGUUGCAGCUCUUCGAGGUUUCUUUCUGGCUGGGCUAGUCAGCGCAUCCACAAGCACUGUCUCAUCCAUUGUGAACUCUCAUGCAGCAAUUUUCUACAUUGACAUUGUCUCACCAUAUUUGAAGAUAAGUGAGCAGCGAGCGACUAACAUCAUGCGUCUGCUAGCUCUGGUCAGUGGUACAGUGAUGACACUGUACGCGAUAGUGAUGCCACUGAUGGGAACAGCAACAAGAGUG